CCUACGGGUGGCAGCAGUGAGGAAUAUUGGUCAAUGGCCGUAAGGCUGAACCAGCCAAGUAGCGUGAGGGAAGACUGCCCUAUGGGUUGUAAACCUCUUUUAUGCGGGGAUAAAGGUGUCCACGUGUGGAUGUUUGCAGGUACCGCAUGAAUAAGGACCGGCUAAUUCCGUGCCAGCAGCCGCGGUAAUACGGAAGGUCCGGGCGUUAUCCGGAUUUAUUGGGUUUAAAGGGUGCGUAGGCGGUUCGAUAAGUUAGAGGUGAAAUCCCGGGGCUCAACUCCGGCACUGCCUCUGAUACUGUCGGGCUAGAGUUUAGUUGCGGUAGGCGGAAUGUAUGGUGUAGCGGUGAAAUGCAUAGAUAUCACGCAGAACCCCGAUUGCGAAGGCAGCAUACCGGUGCACAACUGACGCUCAGGCACGAAAGCGUGGGUAUCGAACAGGAUUAGAUACCCGUGUAGUC
rnacentral:rRNA from 1 species